rnacentral:tRNA from 1 species
CAAGAUGUAGCUUAACUAAAGCCCCCCGCUUACGCCGAGAUGUUGUCUGUUUGACCCAGAUCAUUUUGAG